rnacentral:lncRNA from 1 species
AAAAAGCACUCUACCCCUGAGCUAUAAUCUCAGCCCUUCCAUUUGCCUCUUAAACCACUUAAUUUUUUGCCUGCCAUUAGAAUCUAGGUUGAGAAAUAACGGUAUAGUUUCCCACUGAAAUAUCUAAACAUGCUGAUCAUGGUGGCACAUGCCUAUAUUCCCAGCUACUUGAGAGGCUGGGGUAGGAGGUGCCAGUCACCAGGAAAUUCCAGGCCAGCCUUGGCAAUUUAGCGAGACCUAAUAAUAAUUUUUUUAAAGUGGGGAGACUGGGGAUGUAGUGCAGCACUUGCCUAGCGCAUGUGAGGCCUUGGGUUCAAUCCCAGCACCACAGAAACAAAACAAAAAACACUCUUUGUGUUCAAUCCCCUCCACCCCUACUGGGACAACAAACAAAAAAAACUCAUUCCCUAGAACUCCUUUCCUAUCCAGCUAGCGCCCAUUCCUCAGCCACAAUUUAGAGUGAACUUCUCCAGUUAGCCCCUUUCCCUACAUUUCAGUGCACCGCCUUGCAAUGUAACCUGCUCUCCAAGGUCACCCUUCUUAAGUUUCCUUGCCCCUCCCAUAACAGCACCGGGUUGCAGUGUUUUCUUCUCUGCCUCUGAGAGCCCGCUCACAUUUCCUCACCCUUGGCAGUCUGCCAGCCACAGCUGAUUGUCAUAUUUCUAUCUCCUGUCACAGCUCCUGACUUUCAUGUGCCACGGCUUACCUGCCCUAUUCUCCAUAAAUAUAUGGAUAGUUAAUAUGCAAAUCAAAUGAAAUUCAUGUAGAACAGGACCCCUGAACCUACCAUGCACCUAGCCAGCUGCUCUAGACCUGAGAAUCACUCCAUCCAUCUACAUGGAAUCCUCCAGGAAAUUUUGUUGCCUCUACCUUCAAAACUGAAUUUGUCAGUCAGGCAUGGUGGCACAUACCUGGAAUCCCAGCGACUUGGGAGGCUGAG